GGGUUAGCUCAGUGGGUUGGGCUGUGGUGCUGACAACACCAAGGUUGCAGGUUCGAUCCAGCUGUAUAUCCCUGCAUUUCA